rnacentral:rRNA from 1 species
GAUGAACGCUGGCGGCGUGCUUAACACAUGCAAGUCGAGCGAAGCGCUUAAGUUUGAUUCUUCGGAUGAAGACUUUUGUGACUGAGCGGGCGACGGGUGAAGGUACGCGUAGGUAACCGUGCCUCAUACAGGGGGAUAACAGUUAGAAAUGGCUGCUAAUACCGCAUAAGCGCACAGCAUCGCAUGAUGCAGUGUAGAAAAACUCCGGUGGUAUGAGAUGGACCCGCGUCUGAUUAGCUAGUUGGUGAGGUAACGGCUCACCAAGGCGACGAUCAGUAGCCGACCUGAGAGGGUGAACGGCCACAUUGGGACUGAGACACGGCCCAA